UACAGAGGGUGCAAGCGUUGUCCGGAAUUAUUGGGCGUAAAGAGCUCGUAGGCGGUGUGUCACGUCGGCCGUGAAAACCUGGGGCUUAACUCUGGGCGUGCGGUCGAUACGGGCAUCACUAGAGUUCGGCAGGGGAGACUGGAAUUCCUGGUGUAGCGGUGAAAUGCGCAGAUAUCAGGAGGAACACCGGUGGCGAAGGCGGGUCUCUGGGCCGAUACUGACGCUGAGGAGCGAAAGCCAGGGGAGCAAACGGG
rnacentral:rRNA from 1 species